rnacentral:rRNA from 1 species
UCAAGCGACUAAGUGUAUGUGGUGGAUGCCUUGGCGAUCACAGGCGAUGAAGGACGUGACAGCCUGCGAAAAGCUGUGGGGAGCUGGCAAAUAAGCUUUGAUCCACAGAUGUCCGAAUGAGGGAACUCACCUGCUUUGCAGGUAUCCCAUCCUGAAUAUAUAGGGAUGGGAGGCGAACGAAGCGAACUGAAACAUCUAAGUAGCUUCAGGAAAAGAAAUCAACCGAGAUUCCGAAAGUAGCGGCGAGCGAAAUCGGAUCAGCCCAGCACUCGAUAGCAGCCAACUUACGGGAACGGUCUGGAAAGUCCGGCCAUAGAGGGUGAUAGCCCCUUACUGGAAAAGGCAGCUGCGGUACUAAGUGUGCGAUAAGUAGAGCGGGACACGUGACAUCCUGCUCGAAGAUGGGGGGACCAUCCUCCAAGGCUAAAUACUCGUGAUCGACCGAUAGCGUACCAGUACUGUGAAGGAAAGGUUAAAAGAACCCCGGGAGGGGAGUGAAAUAGAUCCUGAAACCGCAUACAUACAAACAGUAGGAGCCUCGUUAAGGGGUGACUGCGUACCUUUUGCAUAAUGGGUCAGCGACUUACGUUUAAUGGCGAGCUUAACCGUAUAGGGGAGGCGCAGCGAAAGCGAGUUCGAACAGAGCGUUCAGUCGUUAGGCGUAGACCCGAAACCAGAUGAUCUAUCCAUGGCCAGGUUGAAGGUGUGGUAACACACACUGGAGGACCGAACCGACUAGUGUUGCAAAAUUAGCGGAUGAGCUGUGGAUAGGGGUGAAAGGCUAAACAAAUCUGGAGAUAGCUGGUUCUCCCCGAAAACUAUUGAGGUAGUGCCUCGUGUAUGACUCCAGGGGGUAGAGCACUGUUAUGGCUAGGGGGACAUGGCGUCUUACCAAACCAUGGCAAACUCCGAAUACUUGGAAGUUUGAGCACGGGAGACAGAGCACCGGGUGCUAACGUCCGGACUCAAGAGGGAAACAACCCAGACCGCCGGCUAAGGUCCCUAAUAUUGACUAAGUGGAAAACGAAGUGGAAAGGCUAAGACAGUCAGGAAGUUGGCUUAGAAGCAGCCAUCCUUCAAAGAAAGCGUAAUAGCUCACUGAUCGAGUCUUUCUGCGCGGAAGAUGUAACGGGGCUAAGUCAAUAACCGAAGCCGCGGAUUCACACUUGUGUGUGAGUGGUAGGGGAGCGUUCUGUAAGCCUGCGAAGGUGACUCGUAAGGGUUGCUGGAGGUAUCAGAAGUGCGAAUGCUGACAUGAGUAACGUUAAAGCGGGUGAAAAGCCCGCUCGCCGUAAGCCCAAGGUUUCCUGCUCUACGUUCAUCGGAGCAGGGUGAGUCGGCCCCUAAGGUGAGGCUGAGAAGCGUAACUGAUGGGAACAAGGUUAAUAUUCCUUGACCACCGCUGAAUGCGAAGGGGGGACGGAGUAUUGAAGAUCAUCCGGGUGUUGGAUAUCCCGGUUUGCGAGCGUAGGAGGCUGACAGGCAAAUCCGUCAGCGAAUCUCCGAGGCAAAGCAUCGAGCUCUCUUUUGAGCGAAGUGAUUGGAUGUGCUUCCAGGAAAAGCCUCUAAGCUCCAGUUCAGCGGGACCGUACCGCAAACCGACACUGGUGGGCGAGCUGAAUAUGCUCAGGCGCUUGAGAGAACUCAGGAGAAGGAACUCGGCAAAUUGACACCGUAACUUCGGGAUAAGGUGUGCCUUUGUAGCGUGGAGGGAGAAACACCCCGAGCGCGAAGAGGUCUCAGAUAAUCGGUGGCUGCGACUGUUUAUUAAAAACACAGCACUCUGCAAAGACGAAAGUCGACGUAUAGGGUGUGAUGCCUGCCCGGUGCUGGAAGAUUAAUUGAUGGGGUGCAAGCUCCUGAUCGAAGUCCCAGUAAACGGCGGCCGUAACUAUAACGGUCCUAAGGUAGCGAAAUUCCUUGUCGGGCAAGUUCCGACCUGCACGAAUGG